rnacentral:ncRNA from 1 species
UAUGUAAGUCGUUGAUGAAUCCGACCCCUGAACUACAACCAGAAAAAAAUCGAUAAUUUGAUUAAUAUCGGAUAGUGCUGAUAUUCCGCAAAGCGUUUGCCCAUCAACCUGACGGUAGUCUAUUAGUCUAUCAUGGUUAUUACGUUUAAAGGAGAAUAAGGGUUCGACUCCGUUAAGGGAGCCUUGGAAACGGCUACCACAUUCUACAUUUCUCUUUGAUUUUCUGGUUUUCGUAAAGGGGCA